rnacentral:lncRNA from 1 species
AUGUGUUAUGAUAGGAAGUAUCUGCGCUGCAGUUGGCUUCAGCUCGUGUGUGUGUGUGUGUGUGUGUGUGUGUGUGUGUGUGUGUGUGUGUGUGGAGAUAACACAGCAACGUGUUCGUCUUGCCAACAUCAGAUUAUGGGUAAGAGCAGCAUUGUUCUUGUUCUAACAUGCAAAAAAAAAGUGUGUUUCUGUCCCCCUCCCCUCUCGUUCUGUCCCUCUCCCCUCUCGUUCUGUCCCUCUCCCCUCUCGUUCUGUCCCUCUCCCCUCUCGUUCUGUCCCCCUCCUCUCUCGGUCUGUCCCCCCUCCUCUCUCGGUCUGUCCCCCCUCCUCUCUCGGUCUGUCCCCCCUCCUCUCUCGGUCUGUCCCCCCUCCUCUCUCGGUCUGUCCCCCCUCCUCUCUCGGUCUGUCCCCCCUCCUCUCUCGGUCUGUCCCCCCUCCUCUCUCGUUCUGUCCCCCCUCCUCUCUCGGUCUGUCCCCCCUCCUCUCUCGUUCUGUCCCCCCUCCUCUCUCGUUCUGUCCCCCCUCCUCUCUCGUUCUGUCCCCCCUCCUCUCUCGUUCUGUCCCCCCUCCUCUCUCGUUCUGUCCCCCCUCCUCUCUCGUUCUGUCCCCCCUCCUCUCUCGUUCUGUCCCCCUCCUCUCUCGUUCUGUCCCCCUCCUCUCUCGUUCUGUCCCCCUCCUCUCUCGGUCUGUCCCCCCUCCUCUCUCGGUCUGUCCCCCCUCCUCUCUCGGUCUGUCCCCCCUCCUCUCUCGGUCUGUACCCCCUCCUCUCUCGUUCUGUACCCCCUCCUCUCUCGUUCUGUCCCCCCUCCUCUCUCGUUCUGUCCCCCCUCCUCUCUCGGUCUGUCCCCCCUCCUCUCUCGUUCUGUCCCCCCUCCCCUCUCGUUCUGUCCCCCCUCCCCUCUCGUUCUGUCCCCCCUCCCCUCUCGUUCUGUCCCCCCUCCCCUCUCGUUCUGUCCCCCCUCCUCUCUCGGUCUGUCCCCCCUCCUCUCUCGGUCUGUCCCCCCUCCUCUCUCGGUCUGUCCCCCCUCCUCUCUCGGUCUGUCCCCCCUCCUCUCUCGGUCUGUCCCCCCUCCUCUCUCGGUCUGUCCCCCCUCCUCUCUCGGUCUGUCCCCCCUCCUCUCUCGGUCUGUCCCCCCUCCUCUCUCGGUCUGUCCCCCUCCUCUCUCUGAGGUGUGUGAGAGAGAGCUCUACCUCAGCUGUGUUAACGACUGCUUGCCAUGCGGUGUUGACUAG